GUGCCCCAAGUCAGGCGAG
rnacentral:rRNA from 1 species